UACCGAGGGUGCGAGCGUUAAUCGGAAUUACUGGGCGUAAAGCGUGCGUAGACGGUAGCGUAAGUCAGAUGUGAAAGCCCCGGGCUCAACCUGGGAACUGCAUUUGAGACUGCUCUGCUCGGGUGCGGAAGAGGGAAGCGGAAUUUCCGGUGUAGCGGUGAAAUGCGUAGAUAUCGGAAGGAACACCAGUGGCGAAAGCGGCUUCCUGGUCCGACACCGACGUUCAGGCACGAAAGCGAGGGGAGCAAACAGG
rnacentral:rRNA from 1 species